rnacentral:SRP_RNA from 1 species
GGACCUCAUGAGAGAUUACGAACGACGUCAGGUCCGCAAGGAGGAAGCGC